AGAGUUUGAUCAUGGCUCAGGAUGAACGCUAGCUACAGGCUUAACACAUGCAAGUCGNGGGGCAGCAUGUUGGUUGCUUGCAACCAAUGAUGGCGACCGGCGCACGGGUGAGUAACGCGUAUCCAACCUACCUUGUCCAUCGGAUAACCCGUCGAAGGCGGCCUAACACGAUAUGCGGUUCUCAGCAGGCAUCUAACGAGAACGAAUAGUGAAGGAGAAGGAGUGGGAUGUCGUCUGAGUUAGCUUAGGUUGGGUACGGGGUACCGGCCCGUACCGAACGGCGGACG
rnacentral:rRNA from 1 species